AAACAUUUUAAUUUUGCAAGUUUUUUACGUAAUUUUUAAUUAGUAAGUACUCCAUGGAUAAAAUUGUUAGACUGAAGAAAAAUGCUUCGGUAUUUUACAGAAGAUCAGUAAUAAAAAAAAUUGUGGGUAAAGUGUUAUUUUUUGUAUACGUGUUUUAAUAUUCAAUUUUAACUAAAUCCAUAAAUAUGUAUAUAAUAAACUGAACGUCAUUCCGAAUCGCUUUUCGUUAGCAAUGGUUAUCGUUGCUUAAAUGUAUGUAUCCUACAUUUCUAAUUUUUCACCAACAACAAUGGCACACCUGUUCUCAGUAUCAGCUUUUUUU